rnacentral:rRNA from 1 species
GUAGGGUGCAAGCGUUAAUCGGAAUUACUGGGCGUAAAGCGUGCGCAGGCGGUCCGCUAAGACAGAUGUGAAAUCCCCGGGCUUAACCUGGGAACUGCAUUUGUGACUGGCGGGCUAGAGUAUGGCAGAGGGGGGUAGAAUUCCACGUGUAGCAGUGAAAUGCGUAGAGAUGUGGAGGAAUACCGAUGGCGAAGGCAGCCCCCUGGGCCAAUACUGACGCUCAUGCACGAAAGCGUGGGGAGCAAACAGGAUUAGAUACCCUGGUAGUCCACGCCCUAAACGAUGUCAACUAGUUGUUGGGGAUUCAUUUCCUUAGUAACGUAGCUAACGCGUGAAGUUGACCGCCUGGGGAGUACGGUCGCAAGAUUAAAACUCAAAGGAAUUGACGGGGACCCGCACAAGCGGUGGAUGAUGUGGAUUAAUUCGAUGCAACGCGAAAAACCUUACCUACCCUUGACAUGUAUGGAAUCCUGCUGAGAGGUGGGAGUGCCCGAAAGGGAGCCAUAACACAGGUGCUGCAUGGC